AUACGUAGGUGGCAAGCGUUGUCCGGAAUUAGUUGGGCGUAAAGGGCGUGUAGGUGGAUUCUUAAGUCGUGUGUCUAAGUGCGGGGCUCAACCCCGUAUAGGCGCAGGAAACUGGGAAUCUUGAGUGCAGGAGAGGAAAGUGGAAUUCCCAGUGUAGCGGUGAAAUGCGUAGAUAUUGGGAGGAACACCAGUGGCGAAGGCGACUUUCUGGACUGUGUCUGACACUGAGGCGCGAAAGCGUGGGGAGC
rnacentral:rRNA from 1 species